rnacentral:rRNA from 1 species
GACGAACGCUGGCGGCGUGCUUAACACAUGCAAGUCGAGCGGAGCGGCGAACGGGUGAGUAACGCGUGAGUAACUUCCCACCUCACUGUGAUAACAGUUGGCAACAGCUGCUAAUAGCGGAUAGUGGGGGAUGACUCGCGUACGCUCAGCGUGUUGGUGUGGUAGGGGCAUACCAAGGAGACGACGGGUCGCCGGCCUGAGAGGGCGACCGGCCACAGUGGGCUGAGAUAGCGCCUGAAGUCCUACGUGAGGUAGCAGUGGGGAAUAGUGCACAAUGGGGGAAACCCUGAUGCAGUAACGCCGCGUGCUGGAUGCCGGCCAUCGGGUUGUAAACCGCUUUCAGCCAUGACGCGGUAGUGGCAGAAGAAGCACCGGCUAACUACGUGCCAGCAGCCGCGGUAAUUC